CCCUUAGAUGUUCUGGGCUGCACACGUGCUACACUGGCAGGUUCAGCGAGCUUCAUGCCCUGAUCUGAAAGGAAUGGGAAAUCUUUUCAAAACCUGCCGUGCUUGGGAUAGAUGUUUGCAAUUAUUCAUCUUCAACGAGGAUUGCCUUGUAAGCGCACGUCAUCAGCGUGCAUUGAAUACGACCCUGUAUUCUGUACACACCGCCCGUCGCUCCUACCGAUUGAAGUUGUCGGUGAGUUGACAGGAGGAUUUUUUUGAAACUGGUUCGCCAGUGGAUUUUAGAUCCAAAUGCCAACGAAUCGAUGGCUUUAGAGGAAGGAGAAGUCGUAACA
rnacentral:rRNA from 1 species